rnacentral:rRNA from 1 species
GUAGGUGGCAAGCGUUGUCCGGAAUUAUUGGGCGUAAAGCGCGCGCAGGCGGUUCUUUAAGUCUGAUGUGAAAGCCCACGGCUCAACCGUGGAGGGUCAUUGGAAACUGGGGAACUUGAGUACAGAAGAGGAAAGCGGGAUUCCACGUGUAGCGGUGAAAUGCGUAGAGAUGUGGAGGAACACCAGUGGCGAAGGCGGCUUUCUGGUCUGUAACUGACGCUGAGGCGCGAAAGCGUGGGGAGCAAACAGGGAUUAGAUACCCUGGUAGUCCACGCCGUAAACGAUGAGUGCUAAGUGUUAGGGGGUUUCCCGCCCCUUAGUGCUGCAGCUAACGCAUUAAGCACUCCGCCUGGGGAGUACGCCGCAAGGCUG